AUUGAACGCUGGCGGUAGGCCUAACACAUGCAAGUCGAACGGCAGCACAGGAGAGCUUGCUCUCUGGGUGGCGAGUGGCGGACGGGUGAGGAAUACAUCGGAAUCUACCUUUUCGUGGGGGAUAACGUAGGGAAACUUACGCUAAUACCGCAUACGACCUACGGGUGAAAGUGGGGGACCGCAAGGCCUCACGCGAUUAGAUGAGCCGAUGUCCGAUUAGCUAGUUGGCGGGGUAAUGGCCCACCAAGGCGACGAUCGGUAGCUGGUCUGAGAGGAUGAUCAGCCACACUGGAAAUGAGACACGGUCCAGACUCCUACGGGAGGCAGCAGUGGGGAAUAUUGGACAAUGGGCGCAAGCCUGAUUCAGCCAUACCGCGUGGGUGAAGAAGGCCUUCGGGUUGUAAAGCCCUUUUGUUGGGAAAGAAAUCCUGUCGAUUAAUACUCGGUGGGGAUGACGGUACCCAAAGAAUAAGCACCGGCUAACUUCGUGCCAGCAGCCGCCGUAAGAC
rnacentral:rRNA from 1 species